AAGGAGUCUAACAAAUAUGCGAGUAUUUGGGUGGCAAACCCUUAUGCGUAAUGAAAGUAAUUGGUGGGGAAUUUGCACCAUCGACCGGUCUGGAUUACUUUGAAAGAUCUGAGUAAGAGCAUAUUUGCUGGGACCCGAAAGAUGGUGACCUCUGCCUGAAUAGGGUGAAGCCAGAGGAAACUCUGGUGGAGGCUCGUAGCGAUUCUGACGUGCAAAUCGAUCGUCAAAUUUGGGUAUAGGGGCGAAAGACUAAUCGAACCAUCUAGUAGCUGGUUCCCUC
rnacentral:misc_RNA from 1 species